rnacentral:rRNA from 1 species
AUGCAUCUCCUCGUGGAUAUUGCAUUGCUCCUCUUCCUGUACAUGUCAGCAUGUUCUGCCGCGGCAACGGACACCAUCUUGGCCGGCCAAGCACUCACCGUCAACGACAAGCUCGUCUCCAGGAACGGCAGGUACGCACUUUGCUUCUUCGAAACAAGCAGCAAAUCCUCCAGAAACACUAGCAACUGGUACCUCGGCAUAUGGUUCAAUACGGUCCCCAAAUUUACUUCUGCAUGGGUUGCAAAUAGGGAUAAGCCAAUCAAGAAUAUCACCUCAUUGGAGCUCACAAUAUACCAGGAUGGCAACCUUGUCAUCUUGAACCGGUCCACCAAGUCCAUAAUCUGGAGUACACAAGCAAACAUCAAAAGAAAUAGCACCACUGCUAUGCUGUUGAAUAAUGGAAAUCUCGUCCUAAAAGACUCUCCAAACUCAUCAAAAGUUUUGUGGCAGAGCUUUGAUCACCCCACAGAUACAUUUUUCCCAGAGGCGAAACUUGGAUGGGACAAGCUCGCCGGCCUGAACCGCCGUAUUAUUUCUUGGAAGAACUCAAUCAACCCAGCUACUGGUCUGUAUAGUUACGAGUUGGACCAUAGUGGUGUCGACCAGUUAUUGAUUGCACCACUUAGCAGCUCUGCACCAUACUGGUACAGUGGUGUAUGGAACGGCAAAUACUUUGCCUCAGUUCCAGAGAUGGCAGGAAACAAAAUUUGGAGAUCAGAAUUUGUCGACAUUGGCCAUGAGAAGUACUACACAUAUAGCUUAGUGCAAGCAAAGAGGAUUACUCGUCAUGUAAUUGACAUCUCGGGCCAAGUAAAGGUGUUUGUUUGGAACGAGCGCUCACAGGAUUGGGAAAUGAUCUUCGCCCAACCAAGAAGUUCGUGUGAUGUCUAUUCAAUUUGUGGACCUUACACAAUUUGCAAUGAUAAUGUGCUUCCAAAUUGCAACUGUAUGAAGGGCUUCACCAUCACAUCCCCUGGGGAUUGGGAGGUAGAAGAUCGAACCAGUGGGUGCUCGAGAAAUACUCUGUUAGACUGCAUUAGCAACAAAAACACAACACAUACCACAGACAACUUCUAUUCUGUGCCAUGUGUUGGGUUGCCCCAGAAUACCCCAAAAGUAGAAGCUGCUAAAAGUGCAAAUGAGUGUGCACAAUUGUGCCUGAAUAAUUGCUCUUGCACUGCAUAUUCCUUCAACAAUAGCGGAUGUUCUAUCUGGCAUAAUGAACUACUCAACGUAAGACAACUACAAUGUAGUGGUAGUACCAAUUCAAAUGGACAAACUCUUUACCUUCGCCUUUCUGCUAAAGAUAUGCAAAGUUUGGAAAAUAACAGAAAAAGGAUUGUCAUUGGAGUCGCAACUGGUAUAGGUGCUUGUGCUCUAGGCUUAUUCGGGCUCAGCCUCCUAGUAAUCAUUUCGAGAAACAAAAGGAAGAGCUCUGGCCGCAUGCUGAAUGAUGGUUGUAAUGGAAUCAUUGCAUUUAGAUACAUUGAUUUACAUCGUGCAACGAAACAAUUCACAGAGAAGUUGGGGAGAGGCAGCUUUGGUUCAGUAUUUAAGGGGCUUAUAAAUGAUUCAGUUUCCAUAGCGGUGAAGAGGCUUGAUGGUGCUUAUCAAGGAGAGAAGCAAUUCAGAGCCGAAGUGAGCUCGAUUGGAGCUGUUCAGCACAUCAAUUUAGUUAAGCUUGUUGGAUUUUGCUGUGAGGGCUCUAGGAGAUUGCUUGUUUAUGAAUACAUGCCAAACCUCUCUCUUGAUGUCCAUCUAUUUCAAAACAAUUCCACUAUGUUGAAUUGGACUGCUCGUUAUCAGAUAGCCCUGGGAGUUGCCAGAGGGUUAGCCUACUUGCAUGAGAGCUGCCGAGACUGCAUCAUACACUGUGAUAUUAAGCCAGAAAACAUACUGCUUGAUGCUUCAUUCCUCCCAAAAAUUGCAGACUUUGGGAUGGCAAAGCUUCUAGGAAGGGAUCAUAGCCGAGUCCUGACUACAGUCAGAGGAACCGCAGGGUACCUUGCACCUGAAUGGAUUACUGGUGUUCCUAUUACACCAAAAGUUGAUGUUUAUAGCUACGGGAUGGUGUUGCUGGAAAUAAUAUCUGGAAGGAGGAACUCGUGCGGACCAUGUACGAGUGAUGGCAACCUUGAUGUUUAUUUCCCCGUGCAUGCCGCACAUAAGCUUCUUGAAGGAGACGUCGAGAGUUUGAUAGAUCAGAAGUUAGAUGGUAAUGUCAACCUGGAUGAGGCUGAGCUGGUUUGCAAGGUUGCAUGCUGGUGCAUCCAAGAUGAGGAGGUCGGUCGACCAACAAUGGGACAGGUGGUUCAGAUUCUUGAGGGUCUGGUUGAUAUCAGAAUGCCCCCAAUACCAAGACUACUUCAAGCUAUUGGUGGAAGCUCGCAUUCGAUGCGCGCAUAA